rnacentral:rRNA from 1 species
UACGUAGGGGCCAAGCGUUGUCCGGAUUUAUUGGGCGUAAAGAGCUCGUAGGCGGUUUGGAUAGUCGGGUGUGAAAACUCCGAGCUUAACUCGGAGACGCCACCCGAUACUGCCAUGACUAGAGUCCGGUAGGGGAGCAGGGAAUUCCUGGUGUAGCGGUGAAAUGCGCAGAUAUCAGGAGGAACACCAGUGGCGAAGGCGCCAC